rnacentral:rRNA from 1 species
UGGGGGAUAUUGCACAAUGGGCGAAAGCCUGAUGCAGCGACGCCGCGUGGGGGAUGAAGGCCUUCGGGUUGUAAACUUCUUUUGCUCUGAACAAGGCAUGCCUUUGGGGUGUGUUGAGUGUAGGGGUUGAUUAGCGCCGGCUAACUACGUGCCAGCAGCCGCGGUAAUAAGUAGGGCGCGAGCGUUGUCCGGAAUUAUUGGGCGUAAAGGGCUUGUAGGUGGCUGGUUGCGUCUGUCGUGAAAGCUCAUGGCUUAACUGAGGGUUUGCGGUGGGUACGGGCUGGCUUGAGUGCAGUAGGGGAGGCUGGAAUUCCUGGUGUAGCGGUGGAAUGCGCAGAUAUCAGGAGGAAUACCGGUGGCGAAGGCGGGUCUCUGGGCUGUUACUGACGCUGAGGAGCGAAAGCGUGGGGAGCGAACAGG